CCACCACCACCACCACCACCACCACCACCACCACCAUCACCAUCAUCGUCAGAGUGUGGAUCUCUCUUUAGGACAGGGACAUAUGUGGGCUCCUAGCCAAGAGAACUUGGAUUCCUUCUGCAGGAGAAAACUGGCUGCUUCACAGCUGUUGCCUCCUGCUCUGGAGAAGGCUGAGGGUCGAGCUGGCUGCAGGGAUUCAUCUCCCAGGAGGGACAAGAGCCCCAGCUAUAUCCCACCCCGUGAGGAUGGCAACGGGGUCAACUGUGCCCUUUGCUGGCCAUCGUACGUAAGAGCUGGGCAUGUUGUUUACAGAAAGAGGUCCAGGCUAGGCCAGCAGCUAGGCUGUACUGAGUCAUUCAGAAAGUGGACACUGAUGGCCGCCAUGUGCCAGGCCUGGGCAUGUGAGAAACAGCAGUCCAUUCAUUUGCUUGUUCAUUCACUCUCUUAACAAUUGGCCACUGAGUUCAAGGCCAGUGUUCAGAGGUCAGGUCUGACUCCUCCGUUGGCAGAAGAUUCUCCCAACGCUGUUUCCCUUCACCACAGGAGAGAUGCAUCCUGAGGCCUUGGUCCUGCCUCCUGCUCCUUACCCUUAUUCCACGGCUCCUGGAGGACGUGGCGGCUAAGUGUGGUAUAGCACGAGAACACCUGUCUGCCAUCUUGUCUCCGGCAGGACUGUCCAGGACAGAGACAGCCAUCUGGGCUUCUAGCCACGGAAACAUCUAGAAGGACCUGCACACUCACGGCUCACACUGACACACCUGUGCACUAACAAACACUAACAGAUACAUGCCUGGCUGCUGGGAGGCAUGGGGGUGGGCUAGAAGUGUCAGCCUAGGCUGCAGCUGCUGUGGCCGGGGCUACCAGAGAGAAUGGCGUCCAGGGACGGACGCCCUGUGUAUUACAGAGCCAGGAAAACAGACAGGCUUAUCACAGCACAAUUCAAAAAACACACAAAUAAUUCAUCUUGCUAUGAUGUCAUAGUGCUGUAAAUAAUGAAUUUUCACUAAUGCCGGACUUCCUCACCCCACAGGCAGGCAGUGGGGGCAGAGCAAAGCCUGGAACAGCGGGGACUGGAAGAAACAAACUUGGAACUUCCACACUGGUGUCAUUUAAGUAACAACCACGUUGCUCAGGAGCUCCGAGGCCUCUCUUAUCUCCCUGGGGUCCAUCCUUGGCUGUACCCAAGUGUAUGAGCACAGCAAGCUCACCACUCACUCACCACAGCACCCACCUGAAGCCUAGCAGACUGCUUCAGCCUGGUCCCCACAGGGCAGGAUGCAUAACCACGCCCCUGAUGGCAUCCCUCCAAACAGCACCAGCUACCUGGCAGGUCCCACCUCUUGGUGCCACUACCAGAGCCUGGACUUGAUUGAUCUCCGUAUGAAUAUUCAUGCAGCAUCCAGCAGUCUGUCAUCAAUAUUCCAGGAAAGGGAAAACUCCUCAUGUAAGGAGUUGGGGGAGGUCAACCUGUAGCUUGUGACUACUGCAUCUACCUAUGGGCUUCCAAGCUUGACAAGAUGUCCACUCUGUCCCCACUCCCACCCCCAUCCCAUUCUCUGACAGAUGACCCCUCAACGUUCCUGCCUACCUUACAGGCCAUGCCCUCCUCACCAAUCCUGUUCUCUCCUUCAGCUUUGGGCCUGCCUCACCCCACCCUGCCCGAAAUAUUUACCUACAGCCACGGUCCCAUCGUAACAAGAUACCAAGGGCUGUGUACCAACUCAGCAAGCUUGUUUACAGGCCCCACGUUCUCAAGUAGCUCACACAGCCUGCCCCUGGUCAGUGGUUUCCACAGACUCCCCUGUCCUGCCCAGGGUCCACAGUUAGAUACACCCCAAGCCUGGAGUAACAUCAACUCUAAGCCAGACCUCCAAGGAAGAGGGUAUCUGCUUCAUUCCCUGCUGUCCCUGUUGCUGUAGGAGCCCCCCAGGCCCCAGGCCCCAGAGGUCGUGGGCUGGCUCAGGGUGGGAUGCAGCUUAGUUAUAACCCGUCCUGGGAGAUGGUCACAGCUGGCCCCACCAGAGAGAGAUGAGAACUCUGCCUCAGACCUUGGCUUCUGGAAGAAUGGUUGUAUCUGGGGGAGUCAGCUGUUUUGGGAUGAGAUUUCCUAGGGCUGACACAGUACCAGAGUCCUCAAAACACAGCUCAGCAGCACCACACUCGGUGCUUCCCCACUGAGUCCACCGGCACCCUCCUAUGGCUGCUCUUCCGCAGGAGACUACCCAAGCAGUGCAGGGGUGGGGAUGGGGUGGAGUAGCGGGCCUGGCAGGGAAGGGUCACCUGGCAGCCUGUGCCCUUCAGUCUGCCACCCCACCCCCAGGCGCAGUGCGGGCCACACAACUCUGCCUGAGGCCCCAUGUGACACAGCUGCCAACAGGCCUGGGCAAGCAGCCUGGCGGGGUGGGGGAGGGGCACUGGGCUCCAGAUCGCUGAAUCAGCUGCUCUGGACCGUCCCUCCCUGGGCUAGGCUGCUGCCUGGGGGGCAGCUCCCUCUUUUGGGAACUGUUGGGGAGGCAAGCCUGAAUGCUGGGAUUUCCGGAAAAUCUCCCUUGCUUGCUUCAGCCUGGGACUGCUGCUUCCUGGGAGCCAGUGUCUCUAGGGGAGGGAAGGCUUCCUAAGAGGGCCAGGCAGAAGGGGACCCUUCUUUCUAAACAAGACCAAAAACGGAGAAGAGAAAGGCACCCUGCUGCUGUGAAUCUAGCACUCCCCCCCCCCCCCGAAAACGCUGAAUCAGCAUGUGAAGGCGCCGGCUCCCUCCCCUCCCCCUCACACGCUGGCAGGGACUGGGCCUUCCCAAGGUCAGGGGACAUCAAUAACCGCAGCUGAGUCUGUGGCUGCACAGGUCUGUGCUCUGGGUUGCCCCUGCCAUCCUCGGGAGUAGGGACCAUCUGGCUCUCUUCCUCACACUACCCUGGGAAGGUCACAGGUACUAUGUUUGUUUGGGUCUUCACCAGGGACUGCAGAAGCUGCUACUUGGUACAGGGGCAGCAAAUGGGUGUUCAGAGCCAUGAGUUCAUCCCAAGCCUGGGGCCCUGCAGCACCUGCCCUUUUCCCCAGGGUUGUAGGUAGCAGUGACCCGGUCCCUGUACCUCACAUGGGCCAGGGAGAACCUGAGUCAUGGCCAGACAGCACUGCUUCAGACUUUCCGUCUGUGCUGCCCACACCUGGCGGCCUGCUCACCUCCACUCCUUCCUUCCUGGUCCUAGCUCCUAACCAUCUUGCCUAGGGAGUAGUGCCAAGUCUUCAUGGGCACAGUCCCCUCUCUUCAGAUGCCCCUUUCUUGUGGUGAUGGUGAGGUGUAGGCCCUUCCUCCAGGAAGACCCAGAACCCAGCUCUGGUCUCUCAAGUUAACAUGUAGCCCCUGACACUGCACCCUAAGCACUCUACUGGGUCCCCUGAGCCAGCUCUGCAAACCUCAGAACAGUGCCAGCCGGCGGCCAGAUUCCUGGUCCUCCUUCCUGCCUCCCUCCCACCCACUGGGUCACAGGCAGCCCCCUGACUACUCUUCUUCGAAGUCAGUUCACAAGGCUAGCCUGAAAGCUGUCUGUUGCCUUUUCUACCUCAUGAACGUCAGGGGCCUAGGGCUCAGCAGCUGACCAGAUGGGCGGCUUUAUCACUGUGGAUCCUGUUUCGUAUCCAGCCACCGAGGCCUUCUGUCCACAGGUACAUCCUGUCUGUGCCAGGUCUGGUCCCCUGCCCUGCCCUUCAGCGGUGAGCUCAGUCCCAUUUUUAUACUCCUAUGUGCUGCCUUAAUAAACAAACAAAAAUGCUUGAAA
rnacentral:sRNA from 1 species